GAUGAACGCUGGCGGCGUGCCUAAUACAUGCCAGUCGAGCGAACAGAUGAGGAGCUUGCUCCUCUGACGUUAGCGGCGGACGGGUGAGUAACACGUGGAUAACCUACCUAUAAGACUGGGAUAACUUCGGGAAACCGGAGCUAAUACCGGAUAAUAUAUUGAACCGCAUGGUUCGAUAGUGAAAGACGGUUUUGCUGUCACUUAUAGAUGGAUCCGCGCCGCAUUAGCUAGUUGGUAAGGUAACGGCUUACCAAGGCAACGAUGCGUAGCCGACCUGAGAGGGUGAUCGGCCACACUGGAACUGAGACACGGUCCAGACUCCUACGGGAGGCAGCAGUAGGGAAUCUUCCGCAAUGGGCGAAAGCCUGACGGAGCAACGCCGCGUGAGUGAUGAAGGUCUUCGGAUCGUAAAACUCUGUUAUUAGGGAAGAACAAAUGUGUAAGUAACUAUGCACGUCUUGACGGUACCUAAUCAGAAAGCCACGGCUAACUACGUG
rnacentral:rRNA from 1 species